UGGCAAUUAUUAAUUUUAUAAAACUGUAAAUUUUAUUAUAAUUAACUUGUUAUUGUCAG
rnacentral:tRNA from 1 species